UACAGAGGUCCCGAGCGUUGUUCGGAUUCACUGGGCGUAAAGGGUGCGCAGGUGGGUUGGCAAGUUUGAUGUGAAAGCCCCGGGCUUAACCCGGGAAUGGCAUUGAAUACUGCUGAUCUGGAGGAUCGGAGGGGGGACUGGAAUUCUUGGUGUAGCAGUGAAAUGCGUAGAUAUCAAGAGGAACACCAGUGGCGAAGGCGAGUCCCUGGACGAUACCUGACACUGAGGCACGAAAGCCAAGGGAGCAAACAGGA
rnacentral:rRNA from 1 species